rnacentral:rRNA from 1 species
GUGCAGUUCGAGCGGAUGAGAGGAGCUUGCUCCUUGAUUUAGCGGCGGACGGGUGAGUAAUGCCUAGGAAUCUGCCUGGUAGUGGGGGAUAACGUUCCGAAAGGAACGCUAAUACCGCAUACGUCCUACGGGAGAAAGCAGGGGACCUUCGGGCCUUGCGCUAUCAGAUGAGCCUAGGUCGGAUUAGCUAGUUGGUGAGGUAAUGGCUCACCAAGGCGACGAUCCGUAACUGGUCUGAGAGGAUGAUCAGUCACACUGGAACUGAGACACGGUCCAGACUCCUACGGGAGGCAGCAGUGGGGAAUAUUGGACAAUGGGCGAAAGCCUGAUCCAGCCAUGCCGCGUGUGUGAAGAAGGUCUUCGGAUUGUAAAGCACUUUAAGUUGGGAGGAAGGGCAGUAAGCUAAUACCUUGCUGUUUUGACGUUACCGACAGAAUAAGCACCGGCUAACUUCNUGCCANCAGCCGCGGUAAUACNAANGGUGCAAGCGUUAAUCGGAAUUACUGGGCGUAAAGCGCGCGUAGGUGGUUCGCUAAUUUGGAUGUGAAAGCCCCGGGCUCAACCUGGGAACUGCAUCCAAAACUGGCGAGCUAGAGUACGGUAGAGGGUGGUGGAAUUUCCUGUGUAGCGGU